rnacentral:lncRNA from 1 species
CACCAGCCCACUUCACCAACUCAGAAAUUAAGCAUAACAAGCUCAGGGGAAAAAAAAAAAUAAAGGGCUGUGUUUCAGUUAUUAAUGCAUGUGCGUUCAGCACAGAGAGCUUUCCAGCAGCUCUUCCAAGAAUGCUCGGCGGGUUGUUCUCAACCUGACCUGAUGGAGAGCCAGCCAGGGAGAGAGAGGGCAGCAGGCGCAGGCUGAAGUCACACUGCGUCCAGAGCCUUGGUGUGCUCACUGGCUGUGCUCAUACUUCACAUGGAGUUUUCUUCUUGAAGGAAUGCUGCAGCAGGAAGAUAGAAAGCAAACUUGCAAAAAAUGUAGAGGGGUUAAGCAAGCAAGUUUGGAAUUUGAACUUGCACAAACAAACUCCUGAGCACACAGCAAUGGGCCAUCUACAGUACCAAAGAAGACAUGCAGUCCGGCUGUUCCAUGGCAUCUCCUUUCUCCUCACAGAAUGCGUACUGCUGUGCUUAAUGAUAACACCUUU